rnacentral:tRNA from 1 species
GGUGACUCAGUGGUAGAGCACUUGCCUUGCAUGCAUGAGGCCCUGGGUUCUAUUCCUAAGCACCA